CACGUGUGUACGUGUGACACGAGCGGUACACACUCCCACAUGUGCCACACACACUCCCAUACGUGCCAUAUAUGUAACACGCACAUGCUCGUGUGCAUCGGUUCUAGCCGAUUCAGGCCUCAAAAACACUUUCACACUUGUGUACGCAUCACACGUGCGACACACACCACUCCCACAUGUGCCACACGUGCGACAUGCACACCGAUGCCCUAGUGUUUUCACACUUGUGUUUAUCUUCUAAUUACAUAGUUAUUUAUAUAACAUAUUUGAAUACUUAUCCUUUGAUGUUGGAUAAUUCCCAAAUAUCAUUAAAUGAAAACAAAAUGUAAAUAUAUGCUAUUAAUAGGCAAUUUUAAACACAUACAAUAAGGAGGCAUGAUGGUUAUCACUAAUGUUAUUUGCUUUGACUUUUCAAGUUCGAAUCCCCCAUUGGGCCAUAUAAUAGUUUAUCCCUUCUUGAGCUAAUUUUUGUUCCCUCUUGGGCAUAUAAUAAAUUAAAGUGUUAUUUUCAAAAUUUGUACGCAUUUUAUUAAUUUUUACAUUGAUAACCAAAUCUUUUAUUUUAUUUAUUAAUUUUUACAUUAUAAAUCAUGUAAUGUACUAUUUUUCUUACAGUUGUCAAUAAUACAUUUAAAUUAGAUAAUAUUAUAAAAUAUUUUUAAUUUGUUAUUAUUUAUCUAAUAAAAAAAUUAUAAAAUGUAAACUAAUAAUUAUAAUUUCAGUAUAUAAUAUUAUAAUUAGUUAGGUUGUAAUAAUUUUGGAUUAUAGUUAGUUAGGCUGUAAUAAUUUGGGUUUUUUUAGCGGAUUAGGGUUUUUUGCCAAAACGAGAUUUUAAUGGCCAUUCUUUCAUUGAUUUAGUCUACUCUUUAUUAUAGUUCAUGUAUAAUUAUAUAUUUUAUCCAUGAUAAUUCCAUGAUUUUUCUUUUAUGUGAUGCAAAUUUAAUACUUAAGUUUAUAUAGGGAAAGACCAUCUCAAUAUUCACAAAUUGAUGAAAAAAAUGAAAGUUAAUAAUGUAGGACCCUCAUUUCUUAUUGAAUAAAUUUUAAUAAUUUUUUCGGAUUUUUUUGAAGCUUUAAUCCUACCAAUUCCCAAUUCGGAUCGCCGAUUCCCCGAUCCGGAUCGGUUUUUGAGGUGCCUGAUCCGGGUCACUGAUCCGCUUUUGAACCAUUGCUUUAGGGUGUAUGCAACAGUUUUUAGUUUUCUUGUUUAUAGGGAGUGCUUUUAUGUUUGUAUUACAUUUGUUGAAAAGUGUUUGAUAUAACUAGAUAGUAUGUAACAAGUUUACUCUCAUCAGAUUUGAGUAUG
rnacentral:lncRNA from 1 species